GGAGUAGUGCGACAGUGGUUACUCGGUUCGAUUAGAAAUCGAAUGCCGUCAGGCGCGCAGGUUCGAGUCCUGCCUGCUCCU